rnacentral:rRNA from 1 species
AUACGGAGGGUGCAAGCGUUAAUCGGAAUUACUGGGCGUAAAGCGUACGUAGGCGGCUCGUUAAGUUAGAUGUGAAAGCCCCGGGCUUAACCUGGGAACUGCAUUUAAAACUGACGAACUAGAGUUGAGUAGAGGGGAGUGGAAUUUCAGGUGUAGCGGUGAAAUGCGUAGAGAUCAGAAGGAACACCAGUGGCGAAGGCGACUCCCUGGACUCAAACUGACGCUGAGGUACGAAAGCGUGGGUAGCAAACGGGAUUAGAAACCCUAGUAGUCC